AACGCACGAGACCUGCGGACCUGCGGAGGGAUCAUUAAUGAGAAGCUGCCCCUCGUGGGUAGACCUCCCACCCUCUGUGAACUUACCUUUGUUGCUUUGGCAGGCCCGUCCUCUGGACCGCCGGCUUCGGCUGGCCCGUGCCUGCCAGAGGAUUCCAAACCCUGUCUGUCAGUGUUGUCUGAGUCUAUAUGAAAUCGUUAAAACUUUCAACAACGGAUCUCUAGAUCGGAAGAGCACACG
rnacentral:misc_RNA from 1 species